AUGGGCGGGUCGGUGCUGCACGCGCGGCGGCGGUCGGACCCCAAGUUCGACCUCCGGGUCUGGGUGCGCAUCCUCCUCGCCGACCUCGAGUUCAAGAAGUACCUCUGGUCGCUCUACAACGCCAAAACCGGCUAUGUGGAAUCGUUGGACGACGAUGUGGAGAUUGUGGUGCCGGACGACGAUCAUGGCCUGUUCGCCAUCGACGUUCUCGAUCCUUCCUGGUUUGUAGAGCUACUGCAUCUGACUAUGGUGUACCAUUUCCAUGAUAUGAUUGAUAUGCUCCUUGACUGUGGAUACGAGAAAGGAACAACACUAUUUGGAUAUGGUUAUGAUUUUCGUCAAAGCAACAGGAUAGACAAAGCAAUGGCUGGUUUGAGAGCAAAACUUGAGACGGCUUACAAGGCCUCUGGUGGGAAAAAAGUAAACAUAAUCUCCCAUUCUAUGGGAGGAUUGCUAGUACGCUGUUUCAUGUCUAUGAAUCAUGAUAUAUUUUCAAAGUAUGUCAAUAAAUGGAUUUGCAUUGCUUGUCCAUUUCAAGGUGCCCCAGGAUGCAUCAAUGAUUCUCUUCUAACUGGACUGCAGUUUGUUUAUGGUUUUGAAAGUUUCUUUUUCGUUUCUCGAUGGGCGAUGCACCAACUGUUGGUUGAGUGCCCAUCAAUCUACGAAAUGCUACCAAAUCCAAACUUUGAGUGGAAGGAAAAACCAAUCGUUCAGGUUUGGCGAAAGAAUCCUGAAAAGGAUGGAACAGUAGAGCUAGUUUUGUAUGAAGCAACUGAUUGUGUUUCUCUGUUUGAAGAAGCUUUACAAAAUAAUGAGCUCAAUUAUAAUGGGAAGACGAUUGCACUACCAUUCAAUAUGUCCAUCUACAAAUGGGCUACUGAGACUCGCCGUAUUCUUGAGAAUGCUCAACUACCAGAUACCGUGAGUUUUUAUAGUAUACAUGGGACAUCUUAUGAAACACCAUAUGAUGUUUGCUAUGGCUCUGAAAGCUCCCCAAUUGGAGAUCUCUCAGAAGUGUGCCACACAGUGCCUACAUACACAUACGUGGAUGGAGAUUGCACUGUUCCUGUCGAAUCAGCCACGGCUGAUGGGUUCCCAGCGAAAGAAAGGGUAGGCGUCAGGGCUGACCACCGAGGGCUGCUGUGUGAUGAGAAUGUGUUCAAGUUUCUCAAGAAAUGGCUCGGCGUAAGUGAGAACACACGGGGUAGGGUGUCGAAAUCGCAAAUCAUGGACAUGCCCCCAGAGAGGAUCCCUGAUCAGGCCAGUCUCUGA
rnacentral:rRNA from 1 species